CGACUCUCGGCAACGGAUAUCUCGGCUCACGCAUCGAUGAAGAACGUAGCAAAAUGCGAUACUUGGUGUGAAUUGCAGAAUCCCGUGAACCAUCGAGUUUUUGAACGCAAGUUGCGCCCGAAGCCAUCUGGUCGAGGGCACGUCUGCCUGGGCGUCACG
rnacentral:rRNA from 2 species